GCAUCAGGGGCCUCUUUGAACCAUAACCAUUACAGUCCUCUGUACUGUUUUUGGUGCUUGAAUUACCCAUCUUAAGCCCACUUAUACAAAACAAUUUCCUCAAAGUAUUCAGACUGCCUUCUAUCAUAGCACAUGGUGCUAGAUCACUAAUUAGCAGACAUUGUCCAUUUGUUACAUGCAUCUUCUGGAAAAUAGCUAAUUGAAUCACAAAGAAAAUGAAAACGGCUCCUCCAUUCCAACUAGAACAAAUGGUCCUGUUUCAGACUAAUCGAUUUGUUUAGAAGGAAUACAAGUCUUCUAAACACAUCUUGGACUUCAGUGGCAUAGGUACACCAACAGACAACAUGUGAGGAAGUCAUCUCUUUCUACUCUCCCAAAUUACUGAUUGAAUCUAAAAGGAUGGCUGUAAUCAAGUUUUGCCAGGAGUAAUUUCUGCAGUUUUAUUGACUUAAUAAAUUACAUGUAACAUUGUUGGAGUUUAG